rnacentral:rRNA from 1 species
AUUAUUAUGAAAUCUUGGAUCUGUACGACUGAAUAUGAUCCAAGAUUAAUAAUCUUGGAUCAGAACGACUCAAUUUAGAGCAGUACGACUAUUUAUAAAUCGAUUUUAUCGAAUAAAGUUCUAGGUAAUAUAUUUGAUUAUGACAAUAAUUACUGAUGUGUCUUGACCAAAUUACGUGCCAGCAGUCGCGGUAAUACGUAGAAGACUAGUGUUAUUCAUCUUUAGUAGGUUUAAAGGGUACCUAGACGGUAAAAUUAGUCCAAAACAGGAUACGGUUUUACUAGAGUUAUAUAUGAGAAGGUGAGUAUUUACGGAGUAGAGUUGAAAUUCAUUGAUACCUUAAGGACUGGUAACGGCGAAAGCAACCUUUUAUCUAAUAACUGACGUUGAGGGACGAAGGCUUGGGUAACGAACAGGAUUAGAUACCCUAGUAGUCCUAGCAGAGAAUUAUGAAUGCCAUAGAUUAGAUAAAUUUAGUCUAUAAAUGAAAGUGCAAGCAUUUCACCUCAAGAGUAAUGUGGCAACGCAGGAACUGAAAUCAUUAGACCGUUUCUGAAACCAGUAGUGAAGUAUGUUAUUUAAUUCGUAGUUACGCGAAAAACCUUACCACAAUUUGAAUAUUAUCUUAAAAUAGCUCAAUUAAAAUAAUAUUAUUAAAAAUAAUAUAAUUGUAUUAUUUAAGAUAUUACAAGCGUUGCACGGCUGUCUUCAGUUAAUGUCGUGAGAUCAUGGUUAAUUCCUUUAAAUUAACGGAAGCCCUUG